rnacentral:lncRNA from 1 species
GGGACUGGCUUACAGUGUCCCAGGUUCAGUCCAUUAUCAUCAAGACAGGAACCAUAGCAGCAUCAAGGCAGGCAUGGUGCUGGAGAAGGAGCAGAGAGUUCUACAUCUUGAUCCCAAAGGCAUCCAGGAAGACAUGGAGACUGUCUUCUGCAUACUUCCAGGAGGGUCUCUCUUACUCAGUGGGUGGAGCUUGAGCAUGGGAGCCCUCCAAAGCCCACCUAUACUGUGACACACUUCCUCCAACAAGACCGCACCUCCUAAUAGUGCCACUCCCCAUGCAUGGCCAAGUAUUCAAACCACUACAGUGUUACACAUGGAAAAAAUGAGCAUUUCAAGAGUAGGGUCCCAGAAUAUGGUGCAGAGUAUGGUCGCAGACCUGUCACCAGUGAUAUCCAUCCACCUGGUCUCCAUUCACAGGAAACUCUGAGCUAGUAGGAAAUUUCCAGUGAAAUUCUUCAUCUGAAAUGAUGGGCUGGUGACAAACGUCUCUGCUGUCAACUGCUUUUGAUCUUGCCUGUCUAAGACUUGGUUUGAAGAUGUCUCAAUCAGUAGUGUUUGCUAUGCAAGCAUGAGGACCCCGGUUGGAUCCCCUAAAACCCAUGAAAAGGAAAUUUCAGGCAUGGUAGCAUAUUCCUGUAAUCCCAGCAUCAUGAAGAUGGAUCCCACGGGCUCACUAGCCAGGCAGCCUUGCCAGAUUGUAAUGUCUCUAUCAUAGCCCUCCAGGCCAAUGAGAGACCCUGCCUCAAAAGAUGAAAGGAAUUUGUUUCGAAAACAAGGUGGUUAGCACUGGAGGAACCACACCUAUGGUUGUCUUCAGAACUAUAUGUGCACAUACACAUGCAUGUCCAUUUUCAUGCAUACACACACAUACCUGAAAACCCAUGCAUCUCUAGCAGCCCAGAGACAGAGUCCCAAAAGGCAUGUUUGUGUGGAAUGUUUGCCUAUCUUUAGGAUAUGCCUGGGUGGCCCUGUGUCCUCUACUCAAGGGGUCAGGGGGGCAAUCUUCACUCCCUGACCUUCCAUUGUAGGAUGGAGCCACCAGAUACAAGUAUUGCUGUUAGCAAAGAUCUCCUGAACCUGGUGGCCUUGAGAUUCCUGGUGCUGGCAGCCACAACUGUGGCAGCUUUCGAAACCCCCAUUGAAAUGAGCUCUGACUGGAAAAGGUCAAGAGCCACAUCUGGAGUCUGCACCAUAGGCUCAGGCUGGGGCUGGGGAAAUGGCUUCAGAGCAGGUGGCCAGUGCAAAGGCAAACCGUGCUGUAGGAAGAUCCUGCCCUCGGCAUGACAACAGACCACAGAGCAUUAUGAAACAAACAGAGCUGGAUACCCGAUUCCCCGUGAGUUGUCUCCAGUUGUCCCCAGAAGGCCACACCAAAACAGGUAACAUUUUCAGAGGUGCAAAAUAGUAGAAUUCUGGUCUGUCCCCUGGAGUCCCAGAGGCCUAAAGACUGUUUUCUAUGAAGAAGUAGGUGCCUUGAGCUCCACCCCAUCCCAAGCCUCUGGCUUUCAUCUGCAGCCCUACUGACCCCAGUCACAGUCAACUCCCUAGUCCUCUCCCUUCAUGUAUCACUGCUCUGGGACUGCAUGCUAUUAUACAUAUGACCUGGUAUACACAUGGAUGGUACAGCUCUGCAUUGCUAAUCAGUGCCUCCCAUGCAUAUACAGGGUCGGAUUCAUACCUGGGGUCCUUCUGUAAAACUCAAGGAAGCCUCCUCCUAUCUGCUGCUGCUGCUGCUGCUGCUGCUGCUGCUGCUGCUGCUAUAAUUGAAUGCCAGAGACUGUGUAGUUUGCAAAGAAUAAAGGUUUACUCUCCCUAGGUUCACAGUUCUUCUGCAACCAGUAAACUGCUAGACCCUGCGAUUUUAAAAUGAGCCUAGUGCUCCAUGUGGACAGUGAGGCUGGGUCUAGUGGGAUUGGCAGCUUCCCAUACCCCACAAGGAAGGAUGACAUUUUCAGUGCAGUAUUAAAGGCAGGUGAUUCAGGAAAGGGGGUGCAUGCAGUUUCUGGGGAUGGAGGGCUAAGGUGGAAUGGCUGCACCUGGGGAGUGCCUUGCUUGUUGGUGAGGACCCUGCUGAGGUCACAUGGUAGGGGGGUGGCAUGAAUGAGAGUGAACAGGACUUUUAUAGGACCUGCAAGGUAGUUUACUCUGUAAUCCUCAAAAUUCACGU